UACGGAGGAUGCAAGCGUUAUCCGGAAUGAUUGGGCGUAAAGCGUCCGUAGGUGGCUGUGUAAGUCUGCUGUUAAAGAGUGAGGCUCAACCUCAUAAAGGCAGUGGAAACUACAUGGCUAGAGUGCGUUCGGGGCAGAGGGAAUUCCUGGUGUAGCGGUGAAAUGCGUAGAGAUCAGGAAGAACACCGGUGGCGAAAGCGCUCUGCUAGGCCGCAACUGACACUGAGGGACGAAAGCUAGGGGAGCGAAUGGG
rnacentral:rRNA from 1 species